AUAGCGUAUAUUAAAGUUGUUGCGGUUAAAAAGCUCGUAGUUGAAUCUGUGUCCCACGCUGUCGGUUCACCGCUCGCGGUGUUUAACUGGCAUGAUUGUGGGACGUCCUACCGGUGGGCUUAGCCUUUCGGGGCGGCCCAACUAAUAUCCCAUCGCGGUGCUCUUCAUUGAGUGUCGAGGUGGGCCGGUACGUUUACUUUGAACAAAUUAGAGUGCUUAAAGCAGGCUAUUUUCGCCUGAAUACUGUGUGCAUGGAAUAAUGGAAUAGGACCUCGGUUCUAUUUUGUUGGUUUUCGGAACCCCGAGGUAAUGAUUAAUAGGAACAGAUGGGGGCAUUCGUAUUGCGACGUUAGAGGUGAAAUUCUUGGAUCGUCGCAAGACGGACAGAAGCGAAAGCAUUUGCCAAAAAUGUUUUCUUUAAUCAAGAACGAAAGUUAGAGGUUCGAAGGCGAUCAGAUACCGCCCUAGUUCUAACCAUAAACGAUGCCAGCUAGCGAUCCGCCGAAGUUCCUCCGAUGACUCGGCGGGCAGCUUCCGGGAAACCAAAGCUUUUGGGUUCCGGGGGAAGUAUGGUUGCAAAGCUGAAACUUAAAGGAAUUGACGGAAGGGCACCACCAGGAGUGGAGCCUGCGGCUUAAUUUGACUCAACACGGGAAACCUCACCAGGCCCGGACACCGGAAGGAUUGACAGAUUGAGAGCUCUUUCUUGAUUCGGUGGGUGGUGGUGCAUGGCCGUUCUUAGUUGGUGGAGCGAUUUGUCUGGUUAAUUCCGAUAACGAACGAGACUCUAGCCUGCUAAAUAGGCGUACUUUCCGGUAUCUCGAAGGCCCCCGGCUUCGGUCGGGAGGUUUUUACUACCGGCGUACAAAUAAAUCUUCUUAGAGGGAC
rnacentral:rRNA from 1 species